CCUACGGGAGGCAGCAGUGGGGAAUUUUGGACAAUGGGCGCAAGCCUGAUCCAGCAAUGCCGCGUGAGUGAAGAAGGCCUUCGGGUUGUAAAGCUCUGUCAAGUGGGAAAAAAGCUUACUGGUAAAUAGCCAGCAAGACUGAUGGUACCAUUGAAGGAAGCACCGGCUAACUCCGUGCCAGCAGCCGCGGUAAUACGGAGGGUGCAAGCGUUGUUCGGAAUUACUGGGCGUAAAGGGCGUGUAGGCGGUGUGGUAAGUCUGAUGUGAAAGCCCCCGGCUCAACCGGGGAGGGUCAUUGGAAACUGGGGAACUUGAGUGCAGAAGAGGAGAGCGGAAUUCCACGUGUAGCGGUGAAAUGCGUAGAGAUGUGGAGGAACACCAGUGGCGAAGGCGGCUCUCUGGUCUGUAACUGACGCUGAGGCGCGAAAGCGUGGGGAGCGAACAGGAUUAGAUACCCUGGUAGUCCACGCCGUAAACGAUGAGUGCUAAGUGUUAGAGGGUUUCCGCCCUUUAGUGCUGCAGCAAACGCAUUAAGCACUCCGCCUGGGGAGUACGGCCGCAAGGCUGAAACUCAAAGGAAUUGACGG
rnacentral:rRNA from 1 species